GAACUGAAGAGUUUGAUCAUGGCUCAGAUUGAACGCUGGCGGCAGGCCUAACACAUGCAAGUCGAGCGGAUGAAGGGAGCUUGCUCCUGGAUUCAGCGGCGGACGGGUGAGUAAUGCCUAGGAAUCUGCCUGGUAGUGGGGGAUAACGUCCGGAAACGGGCGCUAAUACCGCAUACGUCCUGAGGGAGAAAGUGGGGGAUCUUCGGACCUC
rnacentral:rRNA from 1 species